AGACCUGGUCUCCGAGGAUUUCAUUCGUUGCCACAUCCAUGUCACCCUCUGCGCCCAAUGUGUAGCAAGAGCAAUCGAAUCCAAUUCAUCCCAUUAGUUCCCGUGGCACACACGCGGCCCGACAGGGAAAACAUCAUUCUGGCCGCUUUACAUUUAGCUGAAGAGGCAGACAGCAAACACCCUGUGCAACCCGUUUCGUCAUUACACUGACGGACGGUGGGAGACAUAGCACACUGCGAGGAAGAGUUGCUUGCAAGUGAUGGCAUACCGGUAGAUGCACCGCGUCCUCCGACGUACCGCAAGCCCGGCGUACCAGUGACUCCUAUCUUCUGCUGCUAGAGGAACAUCGAGCUGCGGACGAUGUAUUACUGAUUACAGGACAGAGUUUGGGAUCCAUUCGUGCGAGGAACAAAGUCUAUAUUUCAGCACUCAGCCACAUAUUCUUAGCGAGCGUGUCGCGUUCGCGGUGCAUCUGACCUGCGGGCAGCCUGUUCAGCCUGUUUGUCUCCACUGUUCCUAAUGACCCAUUGUAGCCCAGCAUGCCCUUUUACCGCAGCUGAA